rnacentral:rRNA from 1 species
CAAGUCGAACGGGAUUUAGUUUGUAGUAAUACACGCUAAAUUCAGUGGCGAACGGGUGCGUAACACGUGAGUAAUCUGCCGGGAAGUGGGGGAUAGCUCGCCGAAAGGCGAAUUAAUACCGCAUAUGGCAAGGGAAGACAUCUUUCCAAAGCCAAAGUCGCAAGACGCUUCCUGAUGAACUCGCGGCCUAUCAGCUUGUUGGUGAGGUAACGGCUCACCAAGGCUAUGACGGGUAGCUGGUCUGAGAGGACGACCAGCCACACUGGAACUGAGACACGGUCCAGACACCUACGGGUGGCAGCAGUCGAGAAUUUUUCACAAUGGGGGAAACCCUGAUGGAGCGACGCCGCGUGGAGGAUGAAGGCCUUCGGGUCGUAAACUCCUGUCAUGCGAGAACAAGAAAGUGAUAGUAUCGCAAGAGGAAGAGACGGCUAACUCUGUGCCAGCAGCCGCGGUAAUACAGAGGUCUCAAGCGUUGUUCGGAUUCAUUGGGCGUAAAGGGUGCGUAGGUGGCGUGGAAAGUUGAGUGUGAAAUCCUAGGGCUUAACCUUAGAACUGCACUCAAUACUCCCAUGCUAGAGGAAUGUAGAGGAGAGUGGAAUUCACGGUGUAGCAGUGAAAUGCGUAGAUAUCGUGAGGAAGACCAGUUGCGAAGGCGACUCUCUGGGCAUUUCCUGACACUGAGGCACGAAGGCCAGGGGAGCAAACGGGAUUAGAUACCCCGGUAGUCCUGGCAGUAAACGGUGCACGUUUGGUGUGGGCGGGCUCAGACCCCGUCCGUGCCGGAGCUAACGCGUUAAACGUGCCGCCUGGGAAGUACGGUCGCAAGAUUAAAACUCAAAGAAAUUGACGG